UGCAUGGCGGGACGGCGGAAGGCUGGCGGGCGGCAGGUGCGCCGGGGCUCAGGCGUCGGUGGCCGGGCUUGGAGGUGCCCCGGUGGGGCGUGCUGGGCUGCUGUGCUGGGGCGUGAGGCCAGCUGCCACUUGUGUGCCUCUGCACGCCCGUCUGGCUGCACAGGUGUUGGAGCCACCCGUGCCGACCUAGGCUGUCUGUGGUGGGGGCGUUGUGUGGGUUAAGCCUGGCUGAGGGAGCCAUGGCGGUACCGGUACGGGCCAGGCUUCCGUGCCUGCCCUUAGGAAACCGCCUGGAUUAGUUUUCUCGGUUGACAAAGUUUACCAAGAGCUGACAGCAGCCUACCUGGCCACCUGGGUGUAACUUCUGUGCUACCUCAGGACCAUUCAGGAUGUUGUGUGUUUCCCCAUCCCCCCUUGAGUUUCAGGUGAACACUUAGGGAAGUAUUUUAAAGAAAACAAGGUGGCCCAGCAGAGACUCAAAAGAGGCAACAAGCAAGCCUAAAGGCCUUUGGCUCAUAACCAAUGCUGACAUUGCAGUGUGGUGGUACAGGAAUGUCUGCAGCUCUAGUAGAGCAUCUUCACUCACCUCUGAUCCGGGAAUGCUGAGGUUUCCUGGUAUCUUUUUGAAUGGUUAGUGUGAUUACAAAGGCAUUUAUGCCUAAACAGAAGCUGUCUUCUUCCAAUCAUCCUGCUCUUUCUGCUGGGUUCAUUCACUAAAUCAUUUAAUCACCGAAGGCCAUAUGUUACCGUCUUGUGUAAAACGGGUGGAAGAGAAAAAAAACUAUGCAGAGAUCUCUGCACAGGAGUGGGUGUCAGCGUUCAGCAGAGCUCCCACUAUGAAGUACAAGAUAUAAAAUCUUAGCACCAGUGAAUGUGACUGUGAAAAUAAACCGAGACAGACAAAAGAAAGAGACAAGACGUUGCAAAGUCGAAGCAGACAAUGUCUGAAUCACAAUUCUGCGUGGAAGAGUUAAGGACUAAAUAUUACAGAAGAUAAGAUCAGACUCAGGGAGUCAAUCGCUGCUUAGGGAAGUGUCCUGCCUCCAAGCUGACUUACAUAGUGGGACAUAUGGCAUAAGUUAUAUUUGGACAGAUGUGAACAAGUAGUCAGUGGAUUUGCCUCCUUCACCUAAUACAUCUUCAACUCCCCCAGCCAGAUUUCCUGCUGGAUAGAUGCUGCCCUGGAGACAAAGCGACUAAUGCAUUUCUCCAUACUCUUCAUCUGUGGCUGGAGAUGACCAUGUGUAGCUGCCUCAAAUCAUUGUUCCUCCAAGCAGUUGCUUGCAUGCCUUGAGAGAUGUGGGAGGUGAGGCAUGCUGCUGGCCUGGAUCAAGGAUGAGCCAAAAUGGGCAUCCUGAGGAAUCCCAGGAGGGAGAAAGCCUCUCCUCCAUCAAAACAUUGGAUGAAAUGUGGCAUAUGAGAAGGACAAGCAGACUUUUUCUUCCUUGCUGUGAGAAACCUUUUCACGUGAACUGUGCAGUAUAGAAAAUUCAGCCUUUCCCUGUGCUUGCAGGUUAGCCUGGGUAAUAAAGGCACUUCAUUCUUCACUUUU